rnacentral:rRNA from 1 species
AGUGAACGCUGGCGGCAGGCCUAACACAUGCAAGUCGAACGGCAGCACAGUAGGUGCUUCCUCUUACGGGUGGCGAGUGGCGGACGGGUCAGGAAUACAUCGGAAUCUACUUUUUCGUGGGGGCGCACGUAGGGACACUUACGCCAAUACCGCUUACGACAUACGGGUGAAAGCAGGGGAUCUUCGGAUCUUGCGCGAUUGAAUGAGCCGAUGUCGGAUGAGCUAGUUGGCGGGGUAAAUGCCCAACAAGGCGACGAUCCGUAGCUGGUCUGAGAGGAUGAUCAGCCACACUGGAACUGAGACACGGUCCAGACUCCUACGGGAGGCAGCAGUGGGGAAUAUUGGACAAUGGGCGCAAGCCUGAUCCAGCCAUACCGAGUGGGUGAAGAAGGCCUUCGGGUUGUAAAGCCCUUUUGUUGGGUAAGAAAAGCAGCAAGUUAAUACCCCGCUGUUCUGACGGUACCCAAAGAAUAAGCACCGGCUAACUUCGUG